rnacentral:rRNA from 1 species
CGGGAAUUUUGGGCAAUGGGCGAAAGCCUGACCCAGCAACGCCGCGUGAGGGAUGAAGUAUUUCGGUAUGUAAACCUCGAAAGAAUGGGAAGAAUAAAUGACGGUACCAUUUAUAAGCUCCGGCUAACUACGUGCCAGCAGCCGCGGUAAUACGUAGGGAGCAAGCGUUGUUCGGAUUCACUGGGCGUAAAGGGUGCGUAGGUGGUGGGGUAAGUCGGAUGUGAAAUCUCGGAGCUAAACUCCGAAAUGGCAUUGGAAACUACCCUGCUAGAGGGUCGGAGGGGGGACUGGAAUUCUCGGUGUAGCAGUGAAAUGCGUAGAUAUCGAGAGGAACACCAGUGGCGAAGGCGAGUCCCUGGACGACUCCUGACACUGAGGCACGAAAGCUAGGGGAGCAAACA